UUUAAUUUGAAAAACAAGACAUUGUUUCAUUGAAUCCAAAGGGCUAUUUCCAUUCAAUGGUCCAUUUCAUUCAAAAACGUACAUAUACAAAGUUUUAUACAAAAAAAUUACAAAAAUAUAAGUUUGACCUAUAGUUGACUUUUGGUCAACUGUUGACUUUUUGGUUAACCAAUUGAUCAAAGCCAACUGACCCAAUUUCUAGACCUAACACAUAAUUUCCACAUUGAUUCUUCAUUCUUUUACAUCCUUUCACUUAAUUGCAUGACCAAACAUUUCUUCUUCAGCAAGUAAACUUUUUUUUCUCCAAACCAUCACCAUGAGCUUUCAUGUAGUUCCAUGCCAAGCAAGCUUCAGUCAUCAACAUAUCAACUUGCAACAAGCCAAACAUCUCAACCAUUAUCAUAGCAUUUCAAACAGCCUACAAGAUUCAUGUUAAAAUAUCAAGCACUCAUAACAUCCUACAUGGCAAUGCAAAAUACAAUAAUGUAGCAUACUGCUACAUCAAAACAGCUUGUCGAGUAACAACCAUGUAUCCAUGCUCACCUAUUUACAACAAAUCCAUUCAAGCAACGCUUCAAAACAAGCCAUCAACAUAACAUUCAUAGCAAACAUCAUCAACAAAACUGAGCAAGCAACAUACUUAACAUUCAAAUAGCUAUAACAGCACACUUAUAACCUACCAUAACCAAUCCAUUUAACUUCCAAUUACUAACUAUUUAUGUCCUAAUUCUAACAAUUUUAAGACAAAGUUUCAGUAUGAAUUAAUUCACUUGCAUUGACAUCAUUCAAAAUACUUUUCAACUGAUUUCUAACAUUGCAACAAAUACAAUAACAUAGAAUUUCAAUUACUCAUUAAAAUUCACUACCUGUCAAGUUUAAUUCAUACUAAAUAAUCCCAAUCAGCUAACAACAACAAGCAUAUCAGCAGCUAACGUACAAGCAUGGCGUAUCAACUCACUUCAGUCAAGUAACAUACAUGGCAGACAUGGAAUUUGCAAAAAGCAUCAAUCACUGUUAAACCUGUUUAUGAAAAUUGAACUACACAACAACAACAAGACGCAUGAGCAAGACCUGUAGUAUUAAAUUCAAUCAUUCCAUCAAUCCAUCAUAACAAAGAGCAUUACACCAAUCAAGCCACCAAUCCAAACAUUACAAAACAAUGCCUAAACAUGACAUACAAUAUGACAAACCACUUGCAAGAACUCACCAAAACAUGACCUCACCAACCAUGACCAUUGACCUGCUGCAACCUCACCAUGACUUGCUACAUCAAUAUACAUCUGCCUUUAACUUACAUUAAUGCCCUACAUCCACACAUCAUGACCUGUAACAAUAUCCAUCAAGCCUUGACACACUAUCAUCACCAUGAACAUGAUGCAACCUGGAAUAUUAGCAUGCCAUACAAAAACUCAAUACAAAUUUCAAAUACUCAAUCCACUAACAGUCAGUUUAACUAAUAUUUCACUAACAGAGCAAUGACAGUUCAAACUUUCAACUAAUUCUCCUUUGGUUAAUGCUAACUAACUAAUGCAUUAACUGACUUUAAGUGGAAUUGACUAACUGCAUAACUAGUUAACGGUGUUAACUCUUCUAACAAACUUACCCAUUGAUUGAACUAACCUUAACCUUCAAUAAAACUUUUCCUGACUCUGCCCCAUUUUGUUACAAACUAUGAGCCCUAUAAAUCAAAACUCACACACACAUCCAAGGGGAUUGAUCACAAUACCGAAAAUCUCAGAAUCUUUGCAUCAUCUUCAACCUCUCAACUAUAAUCACUCAGAGCACAUCCCUAGACUUCUACAGAGUCUCGACAAUGGACCUUGAAUGAAGGUGUGUUAAACCUCCAUCUGAUUCCAU
rnacentral:lncRNA from 1 species